GCGACAAGCGGUGGAGUAUGUGGUUUAAUUCGAUGCAACGCGAAGAACCUUACCUGGUCUUGACAUCCCGGAGACCCUUAGGAAACUAGGGGGUGCUUCCAUCUGGAAGAAUCUGGAGACAGGUGCUGCAUGGCUGUCGUCAGCUCGUGUCGUGAGAUGUUGGGUUAAGUCCCGCAACGAGCGCAACCCUUGCCUUUAGUUGCCAGCAGUUCGGCUGGGCACUCUAAAGGGACUGCCGGUGUUAAACCGGAGGAAGGUGGGGAUGACGUCAAGUCCUCAUGGCCUUUAUGACCAGGGCUACACACGUACUACAAUGGCCGAUACAAAGGGCAGCGACACUGCGAGGUGAAGCCAAUCCCGUAAAAUCGGUCUCAGUCCGGAUUGGAGUCUGCAACUCGACUCCAUGAAGUUGGAAUCGCUAGUAAUCGUGGAUCAGCAUGCCACGGUGAAUACGUUCCCGGGCCUU
rnacentral:rRNA from 1 species